rnacentral:rRNA from 1 species
AUUGAACGCUGGCGGCAGGCUUAACACAUGCAAGUCGAGCGGAGAUGAGGUGCUUGCACCUUAUCUUAGCGGCGGACGGGUGAGUAAUGCUUAGGAAUCUGCCUAUUAGUGGGGGACAACAUUCCGAAAGGAAUGCUAAUACCGCAUACGUCCUACGGGAGAAAGCAGGGGAUCUUCGGACCUUGCGCUAAUAGAUGAGCCUAAGUCGGAUUAGCUAGUUGGUGGGGUAAAGGCCUACCAAGGCGACGAUCUGUAGCGGGUCUGAGAGGAUGAUCCGCCACACUGGGAGUGAGACACGGCCCAGACUCCUACGGGAGGCAGCAGUGGGGAAUAUUGGACAAUGGGGGGAACCCUGAUCCAGCCAUGCCGCGUGUGUGAAGAAGGCCUUAUGGUUGUAAAGCACUUUAAGCGAGGAGGAGGCUACUUUAGUUAAUACCUAGAGAUAGUGGACGUUACUCGCAGAAUAAGCACCGGCUAACUCUGUGCCAGCCGCCGCCGUAAAAC